ensembl:lncRNA
CCCACGACUACCACUGCUCCUACUGUCCCCACGACUACCACUGCUCCUACUGUCCCCACGACUACCACUGCUCCUACUGUCCCCAUGACUACCACUCCUACUGUCCCCACGACUACCACUGCUCCUACUGUCCCCACAACUACCACUGCUCCUACUGUCCCCACGACUACCACUGCUCCUACUGUCCCCAUGACUACCACUCCUACUGUCCCCACGACUACCACUGCUCCUACUGUCCCCACAACUACCACUGCUCCUACUGUCCCCCUGACUACCACUGCUCCUACUGUCCCCCUGACUACCACUGCUCCUACUGUCCCCAUGACUACCACUGCUCCUACUGUCCCCAUGACUACCACUGCUCCUACUGCUGUUCCCAGACCACCAUUAAUUCAUCCUGCACUCGUUCAGAUAUCAUCGUUAUCAUGAUCCCCACGGUGUCUGUAGACCCUCCAGUCUGUAGACCCUCCAGUCGGUAGACUCUCACUACGGUACUCUCCCCUCCAGUCUGCUGUCCAGUCAGAAGGCGGAGAUCAGCAGCCACCAGGCAGAGAUCUCCAAGUGGCGGUCCAGGGCCCAGACCCUGAAGGAGAAGACCAAGGCCAUGCGGCCUCACCUGGCGGCCCCCACCACGCCCUCCAAGAGGGGGCUGUUACCCGACACGCCGCCGCCGCCGACUCCGCCGCCGCCGACUCCGCCGCCUCAGACUCCGCCCUCUUCUGCUGCUCCCCCAAGAAGUUCCACAGGGCUCUGGACUCCCCGCGGAGGGGGGGGGACUCCCCGCGGAGGGUCCUGGAGGCUCCGGCCAACGUCCCGGACCCCAACCAGACCUACGGCGUGGACUCCACAGAGUUCCUCAGGUCCACCCUCGCCCGGCCCAAGCAGUUCUUUGAUAACUCCACACUGGGCAUCAAUCCAGAUAUUUGUUGUGUUAAAUUAAACACGGACGACGGCCCUGAGACUAUCGACGAGGGUUCUUCUUCUGCCGUGGAGCAGAAAGAGGAGAUGUGGCCUAUGUCUCCGAAAAAGGAGGAGAUGUGCACCUCUCAAUGAGAACCUCACCAUCCAACACCUGCUCAGCCAUGUGGAAAUCAGAAGGGGACAUUGAAAGACUGUUUUAAAUUGUGAAAUGCACUUUAUGAUAUUCUGAACAAGAGUGGGGCCACUCGCAGUAGGAGACCGUCCGAUAGCGGUCCAGAUCAUUGGCCGGAUCACCUCAGGAGAAGGAAUGUGGGAUGGAUCUCUUUUGCUUUUGUAAUGGGUGGUCAUGUCACCCUCUGUUUUCUCUGUUUUGUGGAUACUUUAGUUUUAAAUUGGGCUUGUUCAUCUUGUUACCUGCAUUGUAAAAAGCUUGGAACACAUCAUUUCAUUACCAGCAAGGAUUAAAAUAAUACUGCCUUUUAAUUCACUGCAUUUGACAGAUUUAGAAGUUGAACUUAACUCUACCGACUGGUUUGGUGGGACGGCCUCGAUCCUAUAUAAAGUUACUCACAAUAUGUAUGGUUUUGGGCUCAAACCCCGGUUAAAAAAAUUAAUGAUCUUGAUUCCGGUGGAUUACGAAUGUAUGAUCAGAACAAAUAAACAAGUAAAAAGUUUCACGCUUCUUUAUUUAUUCUUUACUCCGACGAUCCAACUUUUAUUUGGAAGGCUGCUGGUGGUUUGCACCUGGAUUGGUCCAACGUAACCUAUUGGUGUGUUUCUGAAACCUUGGACGCCAGCCUUUUGUGAAUGU